UAGGAGAAUCUCAUUUGCAUUCUCAUUCUCUUCGUAUAAUAUUAUUGCAGGUUUGCUCCUUGAUAGAAGGAACAGCACCAAGUCUUUUCUGUUCAAAGUUUCAUUUGAGUUCUUCCCUUGUUAAGAAUCGUUGGGCUUUUGUUGUGUCUGUAUCUAACAGCUUGGUUAUGCUUGGCUGCGUUUUGGCAUACAGUACUCGUUCCCUCUCCAAGAGAACAAGGAGAUGUGGUGGUAUUUCUUCGAAGGCACCAAACACAUUUUACUUUUCAUUAGUCAUUAAGCGCUUCAAAUUUCUCUCGUUCAUCUUGUAGGAAAAAAUGGUCCGCACUGAGUUAUGCAAUGUAAGGCUGGAUGUAGAAUCAUUGGCCCGAACAUGAGGAUCUUGGAUUUGUGAGUCAAUAUGUUCAGGUAAGUUAUAUCCUGAAGCCUAAGAAAAUGGCAGUUCUGCACAUCCAUGUUAGUUUGGAAAUGUAAAUGAAGAUUUCAUGAAAGAUGGGUAGUGGAUAUCUUCAUUCGUUAUUAAUUGGGACUUUGUUUGUUUCAUUUCUUUCAUUAGAUUCAUAUAUAUUGAGGCCUGAUCAGAUGCGCCAUUAUUCAGUAGAUGAAUCAAACUCAUAGGAAUGGAAACCUGCGAGAUUUAAGAGAUCUGGGAUAAUGGCAGCUCCGCCGAGUUAAACCUCUUUUCCUUGUUUGAGACUUUGGACAGAAAGCACUGAUACAAUCAAGAAGUAACUUAAUUCCAUGUCUUGGUAUGGCAUCAUGGCACAUCCCCGAUAGGCCUGAACACAGGACGGUCGAAUACCCUCUGGAAAGCGUAAAUCAGGCAUCCCAAGCAGUGAUCCUUGGAAAGUCUUCCUUUGCACGCUCCGCAGCCAUAAACGAAGCCUGUGGUGUAUGGUCACGUUACAUAAUAACUGAACCAUGGUUUGGAAUCCCCGAGAUGACACAGUCGAUCUCGUAGGAAAUACCCUCGGCAUAAAAUGAAUCUUUUCCAUUAAAUUCCUGAGGGUUUGUGGUACAGUGAUACUAAUGUUAACUCUGCUCCACCACCAGCAUGACAGGCCAAAAUGUUACAGAUACAGAAUAGCUCAACUCCGACAGCUGCGAUUCUAAUGGAAGCAGCCAAGUGAAGUCUUCUCGUUCUGUCUCCCGUCCUCUCUGUAUCAGGUUUGGUACUUAAUUUAUAUUGAAGGCGCCACUGGGAUUUAUCUAAGUUUAUUGAGAUUUGUUCUUGGUUUUAUUUCGUUAUUAAGUUCCUUGGAACUCUGUGGUAUCAAUCAUUCGGCCAGGAAACACAGCAGCCAUAGUGUGAGACCCAGUAUUGGUUUUUCUAAACAUGCAUCUAUACAUAUACAUACCCUUUUCCACCGCCAUGUCUUCAUUUAAUUUGUUCCUUUCUUUUUCUCUGUUUGCUCUGCUUUUGGCUGGAGAAAACGAAAAGAAACAGAGAGCACCAGAGAUAGAGAGACAGAACCUGCCAUUGACGACCUUCUCGAGCUUCGUCGAGCUUGUUCGUGCUUCUCUUUUUCUAUCUCGUGAGCUUCUAAUUGAUUCCCUAGCUUCUUCUGGCCACUGCUGAUUGGAUGUUUCUCUUGCUUGUUCUUGCUGGUUUGACUUUGUUUUGAUGUCGGAGAGCAAUCAGGGGCCAAGGAGUCCGAGACUAUACACCCGGAAUGCUCGACUUGUUGAGUUAUCAUUUUGGGGGUUUUUGUGAGUAUUUUUAUUUCACUAUAGAAUGAAACUAAAUCUUAAAUUAAUUAUGUCAAGCUGGUUUGAAUGAGAUAAGUUGAAUGAAGAUAGUAUGAGGAUUUAUUGUAAAUGAAGUCAGUUAAUUGUGGUUUGGUGAUAUUAUUGUUUAUAACCAUGGGACCGCUGAUCCGGUGGUAUAUAAAAAGGGGCGCCUAAACCGCUGAUCCGGCGGUAUAUAAAAAGUGACGCCUAGAUCGCUGAUCCGGCGGUAUAUAAAAAGUGACGCCUAGACCGCUGAUCCGGCGGAAUACAAAAAGGACGUUUAGACCGCAGAUCUGGCGGGAUAUAAAAUGGACGUCUAGACUCCUAGUGCUGGAGGAUAACGGGCAGCCCUCGCUUAUGAGAAAUCAAAUGAGGAGUUUGUAAAUAUGAGUGCGUGGUCACGGUACAGUAGAAACUCUGUCGCGAGGAUUGCGACUCUAUGGCUACUAUUAUUUGUUGCUUAAGAAUGAUUGUUUGAGUUAUGAAAUAUUGAUUUGGCUAAUAAGAGAAAGGUUCAAGGCUGGAAAUUAGGUGUAUAUAUAUAUAUAUAUAUCAUUAGGAAUUUUGAAGUAAAUGAUAUGACUGUAAUGGUUGAUGUGAAUGCAUAAACAAGUUUGAUACUUCAUUUUAUUAUAGAAUUUAAUACUCACUGAGAUGCAGUUUAUCCCCUACAUAUAUUUUCAGAUGAGUUAGGAGCUAGACUAGCAGAAUAAGAAAAUCUUUUUGGAUAUCGGGGAUCAGCGUGAAGAAUUUUGCAACUAGACCCACUUGUAGCAUAUGUAGUAAGUUCAUGUAGAGUGCUGUAAACAUGUUACGACCUGGAAUUUUUGUUUAGUUGGUUUACUGAGGUUGGUGAGAAAGAGUACUCUCUUGAUAUGUAUAUAGAUAUUAGAGCUCGCUGGAUUGGUUACAUACAUUUGGGAGUUUAUGGAAAGUAUGCUUUUAUAUGAAUAGUUAAUAUGGUAAUGAAUAUUAAGGAAAUUUAGGGAAAAUUUUGUUGAAAUUUCGGAUUGUAAUACAUAGACACAAAAGCAUCCCAUUUGAACUUCAAUAAAUUAGCUGGUCAAUUUCAUUCAAGCUUUUCCCUCCAUGUACAUUGUCUCGAUGGGCUGAUCCCAGGGAGUUAACAGCCCGUGUAAGUUCGACAAAGUCUCGUUAGAAGAUCCAUGUUCUGAUCUCGGUGUUCCAGCAAUGUUUUCUAUACGUUCCAAGUUUCCUUUGGAUUCUUCUAUCAUUGUGCCUUUUGUUUUCUCAUCUCCGUAUUUAAUGCUUUGCUAGUGAUCGAUCCUGAAGAGAAUGAGAGGGGGCAUUCCUUCUAAAGCGGGCAAUCCAUUCAGUUCGUACGUGGUAUAUUAUAUUUCUAAGGUAGUUAUGUACAAUCAGCAUCCCACAUAUAAAACACUGAUGAUGCUCUUGAAUUUGGAGUCAAUAGAUGGGUGUGUUAUAUCUCGAAACUCCAAAAUGACAUGAAUUUGUGCACAUCUAUGCUAGUCUGGAAUGUAAAUAAAAAUUUCAUGGAA